rnacentral:rRNA from 1 species
UACGUAGGGUGCAAGCGUUGUCCGGAAUUAUUGGGCGUAAAGAGCUCGUAGGCGGUUUGUCGCGUCUGCUGUGAAAACCCGCGGCUCAACUGCGGGCCUGCAGCCGAUACGGGCAGGCUAGAGUUCGGUAGGGGAGACUGGAAUUCCUGGUGUAGCGGUGAAAUGCGCAGAUAUCAGGAGGAACACCGGUGGCGAAGGCGGGUCUCUGGGCCGAUACUGACGCUGAGGAGCGAAAGCGUGGGGAGCGGACAGG